rnacentral:rRNA from 1 species
UACGUAGGGUGCAAGCGUUGUCCGGAAUUAUUGGGCGUAAAGAGCUCGUAGGCGGUGUGUCGCGUCGGCUGUGAAAACCUGGGGCUCAACCCUGGGCUUGCAGCUGAUACGGGCAGACUGGAGUUCGGCAGGGGAGACUGGAAUUCCUGGUGUAGCGGUGAAAUGCGCAGAUAUCAGGAGGAACACCGGUGGCGAAGGCGGGUCUCUGGGCCGAUACUGACGCUGAGGUGCGAAAGCGUGGGGAGCAAACAGG